UGAUACAUUAAUAUUCCUUUUUUUAUCUUGUUUAAUUUUUUUUUUUCCAUCUAGAUUUAUUAUUAAUUGCAAAUUAUGAGAACUGUUACAUAGACGAUUCUACAACUGACAAUUUCUACCGACCCUUAGUAGAUCCACGACAGACUACACUUCAUCUUUCAUGAUCUUGAUGAAUACCUUUCAAUGAUCCAUGACCUGGCGACACUUCCUUCUCUGCGUAGAAUCCUGGCGCACGGCUAUAAUUGUACAUCGCUGGAGAUCUUCUGCACACUUGCCUCUAUUAAUCUGCAAAUUUGUUAAUAAAUCGCAAUAUCUGGGACUCGAACCCCAGAACUCUUAGUGUAGAAGCAUUAAUCAACUCUUGGU
rnacentral:lncRNA from 1 species